rnacentral:rRNA from 1 species
GAUGAACGCUGGCGGCGUGCCUAAUACAUGCAAGUCGAGCGAACAGACGAGGAGCUUGCUCCUCUGACGUUAGCGGCGGACGGGUGAGUAAAACGUGGAUAACCUACCUAUAAGACUGGGAUAACUUCGGGAAACCGGAGCGAAUACCGGAUAAUAUAUUUAACCGCAUGGUUCAAUAGUGAAAGACGGUUUUGCUGUCACUUAUAGAUGGAUCCGCGCCGCAUUAGCUAGUUGGUAAGGUAACGGCUUACCAAGGCGACGAUGCGUAGCCGACCUGAGAGGGUGAUCGGCCACACUGGAACUGAGACACGGUCCAGACUCCUACGGGAGGCAGCAGUAGGGAAUCUUCCGCAAUGGGCGAAAGCCUGACGGAGCAACGCCGCGUGAGUGAUGAAGGUCUUCGGAUCGUAAAACUCUGUUAUUAGGGAAGAACAAAUGUGUAAGUAACUAUGCACGUCUUGACGGUACCUAAUCAGAAAGCAACGGCUAACUACGUG